rnacentral:rRNA from 1 species
UGGGGAAUAUUGGACAAUGGGGGCAACCCUGAUCCAGCAAUGCCGCGUGUGUGAAGAAGGUUUUCGGAUUGUAAAGCACUUUCGACGGGGACGAUGAUGACGGUACCCGUAGAAGAAGCCCCGGCUAACUUCGUGCCAG